UCGCUAUGAUGACGGAUUCCAAAACCAUUCGUAGUUUCCACCAGAAGUCUUGGUGUUGGCAGUUCCUUCCUUGGAUGUCUGAGCGA
ensembl:snoRNA SNORD14 Small nucleolar RNA SNORD14